rnacentral:rRNA from 1 species
UACGUAGGGCGCAAGCGUUGUCCGGAAUUAUUGGGCGUAAAGAGCUCGUAGGCGGUUUGUCGCGUCUGUCGUGAAAGCUUGGGGCUUAACCCCAAGUCUGCGGUGGAUACGGGCAGACUAGAGGCAGGUAGGGGAGAACGGAAUUCCCGGUGUAGCGGUGAAAUGCGCAGAUAUCGGGAAGAACACCGGUGGCGAAGGCGGCUAUCUGGACCGACAUUGACGCUGAGGCGCGAAAGCGUGGGGAGCAAACAGG